AAACUCAUUAAAGCCUUUAGGGUGUUUCCAUUACCAAGGAGCUAUGCAUCAUUUUGGUCACUGCAGUAAUGAGGAUUAUGCUAGGCAGUAUUACAAUAACAAACUACACAUUCUCAGUGGCUUAACACAAGACAGACUUUAUUUCGCAUUUAUGAAAAUUCUGAUGCCGGGUGGAGGGCUCUCCUUCAUAUGGUCACUUCACCACUAGCUGCACAUUGCCUUCAGGGCUGUGGUGGCUGAGGAAGAGAGAGCUGAAGGCUUUAUAGGUGGGCCUACAAGUGUCAUUCAUCACUUUCUCCUGUGCAGUGACCAGAUCACAGCUACAUGGUCUCAAUCUAACUG
rnacentral:lncRNA from 1 species